rnacentral:lncRNA from 1 species
GUCGUCUGUAAAGCACGCCUGAGUCAGCUACUAAAUUCAGCUUCAGCAAAUUUGCCCAACCAGUGGAGUGUUCUCAAGAUGAAGAGUCACGUCAAGAACAAUUCUUUCUCCUCUGUUGACCAUUUGCUCAAAAGAACAUGACAUUUUCUUUCUAUUUGGAUUCUUUUCAGGUGUAUCUGGUCAAAUGAGAUUCCAGAGACGUGAAAGAAAGAUUCAUACACAGUAAAUCAAAGCCGUAACCCUCGGAUUCAAAUGCUCUUUGUCAGCAAUCAGCCGCCCUGCCAACCGAUCGGAUGAGAGGAAAUCCACUGCAUACAGAUUUCAACAUCAGCUGCCAAACAUAAUGAUCCAAGCUAGAACGGUCCUGAGGGACAGAGCAGUUCCAGCGACACUCACUGGCCGGAGGAGGGCGCUCUGGAGCCGCCGUCACCUGCUUCAGUAAACAGCUUCAUCUAUGUUAUCAUCACUGUCUCCUCCAAACUCGUCUCCAUUGUCAAAGUGGGACAUGAUGUAAUCUGUUUCCUGUUACACACAUACAUAGGAUUAAUUGGCUAAAACUUGUAUUGAAUGUUGGUUUAAUACAGGUUCACCUCAGUCAAUAGCAUUUGUGGUAUAAUAUUGAUUACUACACAAUAUUCUAAAAGGGCAAAAUCAAGGUUAUACUGAGGAAGUAAAUGGGAGAUUUUUUUUAGAGGCUUUAAAAGCUUAUAAGUUUAUAACAGCACA